rnacentral:rRNA from 1 species
CCUACGGGUGGCAGCAGUCGAGAAUCAUUCACAAUGGGGGAAACCCUGAUGGUGCGACGCCGCGUGGGGGAAUGAAGGUCUUCGGAUUUUAAACCCCUGUCAUGUGGGAGCAAAUUAAAAAGAUAGUACCACAAGAGGAAGAGACGGCUAACUCUGUGCCAGCAGCCGCGGUAAUACAGAGGUCUCAAGCGUUGUUCGGAAUCACUGGGCGUAAAGCGUGCGUAGGCUGUUUCGUAAGUCGUGUGUGAAAGGCGCGGGCUCAACCCGCGGACGGCACAUGAUACUGCGAGACUAGAGUAAUGGAGGGGGAACCGGAAUUCUCGGUGUAGCAGUGAAAUGCGUAGAUAUCGAGAGGAACACUCGUGGCGAAGGCGGGUUCUUGGACAUGAACUGACGCUGAGGCACGAAGGCCAGGGGAGCGAAAGGGAUUAGAUACCCCUGUAGUC